UUGUGUAAGAUCCUUCAUUGAGCCUCAGACACACCAAGUUAAAUGUCCAAUGACGGCUAAGUGAAGUGGCUCUACGUAGUACACAUAUAUGAAUGCCUUGUUUCACAAAAAAGAACACUGCUCAGAUAUUUUCUCUGGACUGUCAAUUUCUGCGUUUCAUAAUCAUGUGAUACCUGUGUUGGAGCCCUCCCAAAAACCUCCCCUUUAAGAUUUCAAAGUUAAGGAGAUCAUUCAAAUGACAGAGGUUUUGGUCCAUGUUGGUUUGUCUCAACAGUUAAUCUUUUGGAAAUUAAGCAGUGUUGGAGAAAAUAUCAGCAACAUGU